AAAUUGAAGAGUUUGAUCAUGGCUCAGAUUGAACGCUGGCGGCAGGCCUAACACAUGCAAGUCGAACGGUAGCAGGAAGAAGCUUGCUUCUUUGCUGACGAGUGGCGGACGGGUGAGUAAUGUCUGGGAAACUGCCUGAUGGAGGGGGAUAACUACUGGAAACGGUAGCUAAUACCGCAUAACGUCGCAAGACCAAAGAGGGGGACCUUCGGGCCUCUUGCCAUCGGAUGUGCCCAGAUGGGAUUAGCUUGUUGGUGGGGUAACGGCUCACCAAGGCGACGAUCCCUAGCUGGUCUGAGAGGAUGACCAGCCACACUGGAACUGAGACACGGUCCAGACUCCUACGGGAGGCAGCAGUGGGGAAUAUUGCACAAUGGGCGCAAGCCUGAUGCAGCCAUGCCGCGUGUAUGAAGAAGGCCUUCGGGUUGUAAAGUACUUUCAGCGGGGAGGAAGGGAGUAAAGUUAAUACCUUUGCUCAUUGACGUUACCCGCAGAAGAAGCACCGGCUAACUCCGUGCCAGCAGCCGCGGUAAUACGGAGGGUGCAAGCGUUAAUCGGAAUUACUGGGCGUAAAGCGCACGCAGGCGGUUUGUUAAGUCAGAUGUGAAAUCCCCGGGCUCAACCUGGGAACUGCAUCUGAUACUGGCAAGCUUGAGUCUCGUAGAGGGGGGUAGAAUUCCAGGUGUAGCGGUGAAAUGCGUAGAGAUCUGGAGGAAUACCGGUGGCGAAGGCGGCCCCCUGGACGAAGACUGACGCUCAGGUGCGAAAGCGUGGGGAGCAAACAGGAUUAGAUACCCUGGUAGUCCACGCCGUAAACGAUGUCGACUUGGAGGUUGUGCCCUUGAGGCGUGGCUUCCGGAGCUAACGCGUUAAGUCGACCGCCUGGGGAGUACGGCCGCAAGGUUAAAACUCAAAUGAAUUGACGGGGGCCCGCACAAGCGGUGGAGCAUGUGGUUUAAUUCGAUGCAACGCGAAGAACCUUACCUGGUCUUGACAUCCACGGAAGUUUUCAGAGAUGAGAAUGUGCCUUCGGGAACCGUGAGACAGGUGCUGCAUGGCUGUCGUCAGCUCGUGUUGUGAAAUGUUGGGUUAAGUCCCGCAACGAGCGCAACCCUUAUCCUUUGUUGCCAGCGGUCCGGCCGGGAACUCAAAGGAGACUGCCAGUGAUAAACUGGAGGAAGGUGGGGAUGACGUCAAGUCAUCAUGGCCCUUACGACCAGGGCUACACACGUGCUACAAUGGCGCAUACAAAGAGAAGCGACCUCGCGAGAGCAAGCGGACCUCAUAAAGUGCGUCGUAGUCCGGAUUGGAGUCUGCAACUCGACUCCAUGAAGUCGGAAUCGCUAGUAAUCGUGGAUCAGAAUGCCACGGUGAAUACGUUCCCGGGCCUUGUACACACCGCCCGUCACACCAUGGGAGUGGGUUGCAAAAGAAGUAGGUAGCUUAACCUUCGGGAGGGCGCUUACCACUUUGUGAUUCAUGACUGGGGUGAAGUCGUAACAAGGUAACCGUAGGGGAACCUGCGGUUGGAUCACCUCCUUACCUUAAAGAAGC
rnacentral:rRNA from 1 species